rnacentral:rRNA from 1 species
UACGUAGGGCGCAAGCGUUAUCCGGAAUUAUUGGGCGUAAAGAGCUCGUAGGCGGUUUGUCGCGUCUGCCGUGAAAGUCCGGGGCUCAACUCCGGAUCUGCGGUGGGUACGGGCAGACUAGAGUGAUGUAGGGGAGACUGGAAUUCCUGGUGUAGCGGUGAAAUGCGCAGAUAUCAGGAGGAACACCUGAGGUGAAGACGGGUUGCUGGGCUGACACUGACGCUGAUGCGCGAAAGCCAGGGUAGCAAACGGG